rnacentral:tRNA from 1 species
GGUCAUGUGGCCGAGCGGUCUAAGGCACUGGAUUUAGACUCUAGUCUCCUUGGGUGUGUGGGUUCAAAUCCCACCACUGCCA